CGGAAAGGUACAUUCACAGGGAGUCUGAAUAUUCUAGAGAGAUUGGUCUACUACGGCCUGGCCUUCUCUUAGAUCUCAAAGCACAGAGAAACAUCACUUCCUGCCUGCAGCACAGCCCUAGAGAACAGCCAUGCUCUCCCCCAGGAAAUUAGCCAAAAAGAAGUAUUCCAAAGUAUUUCCAGUCCUCCUCCAACUUAUCAUCCCCACCAAAUGAAAUUAAACUCCACCUUUCUUGAAGCUAUUCUACUGAGAGAAAAUGAGAAAUUUUCAGAAAACAUGGCAUGUAAGGAGAAGUAAAGACUCAACUUGCAGGACUUUGGAAAGGAAUGUGGUUUUAGGAGCUAUUGAGGAGUCAUUAAUUAUAGGAAAUUCACUUGAAUAUCCAGGACACAAAAACGGUCAGACAAAACCAGGUUGGGCCUGAUGCUUAAGCCUUCCAGAUGUCACAUCAAAACUUAACUGGACAUAAGCUUCCAAAUGACAUUUUUAAAAAGAGUGCCUGCCACGACUUCUGCCCAGAGUCUGGCAUAAACUAAUCCCAGUUUAAAAAUUAAUAAACAAUUAAUAUAUAAAAUAAUAUAUACAAGAUCCAUAAAGAAAUGUCUGACUCACACUAAGUGCUCUUCAGUAGUUGGGGCUUAUUUGGGGAUUGGCAGGAGAAGUGUGACUUGCAGUUUAGUAAGAUGGCUUCAGCAUGGCCUCGCUGGGGGGUGAGGGGAGGAUGAGGGGAGGAUCUACAGGGAAGUUGUUACAGAGUUCAGAAGAAAAAUGGUGGUGGCCUGGCUGCCUCAGGGAAAAGAAGGAAGAAAUUCGGAUAACUCUGAGUAGCAUACUUUGUAGGCUGUAAAUGAAGAUGCCCGGGUGAAAUCCAGGUUUUUUUUUAACAAGUAAGAGCCCUGCAGUGCCGUUUGCUGAGGUGGAGCAGAAGCAGACAGUUUAGGAAGGCAAUGUCUUAGGUCUUCCUCCUUCUUCUCAUGGGGAUUGGAAACAUUUAAAGCGACAUCUUUUGUUGGAGGAGGGAGACACCUGUUGGUUCCUGGCUUCCCAGCCCCGAAAUAAUCACACAGAAACUAUAUUAUUUAAAACAUUGCUUGG